UGCCAGACUCCUACGGGAGGCAGCAGUGGGGGAUAUUGCACAAUGGGGGAAACCCUGAUGCAGCGACGCCGCGUGUGGGAAGACGGUCCUCUGGAUUGUAAACCACUGUCCCCAGGGACGAAGAUGACGGUACCUGGGGAGGAAGCUCCGGCUAACUACGUGCCAGCAGCCGCGGUAAUACGUAGGGGGCAAGCGUUAUCCGGAUUUACUGGGUGUAAAGGGAGCGUAGACGGCGAUGCAAGUCUGAAGUGAAAGGUGGGGGCCCAACCCCCGGACUGCUUUGGAAACUGUAUAGCUGGAGUGCAGGAGAGGUAAGUGGAAUUCCUAGUGUAGCGGUGAAAUGCGUAGAUAUUAGGAGGAACACCAGUGGCGAAGGCGGCUUACUGGACUGUAACUGACGUUGAGGCUCGAAAGCGUGGGGAGCAAACAGGAUUAGAUACCCGCGUAUC
rnacentral:rRNA from 1 species